UGGCGGCGUGCUUAACACAUGCAAGUCGAACGGGACGUCAGGGAACGAGGCUUCGGCCAAGCGAACUGAAGUUUAGUGGCGGACGGGUGAGUAACGCGUGAGUAACCUGCCUAUCACAGGGGGACAACAGUUGGAAACGACUGCUAAUACCGCAUAAUGUAUUUCGGGGGCAUCCCGGAGAUACCAAAGGAGCGAUCCGGUGAUAGAUGGACUCGCGUCCGAUUAGCUAGUUGGUGAGGUAACGGCCCACCAAGGCGACGAUCGGUAGCCGGACUGAGAGGUUGAACGGCCACAUUGGGACUGAGACACGGCCCAGACUCCUACGGGAGGCAGCAGUGGGGAAUAUUGGUCAAUGGGGGGAAAAACCCCCUGAACCAGCAACGCCGCGUGAAGGAUGAAGGUUUUCGGAUUGUAAACUUCUUUGACGAGGGACGAUAAUGACGGUACCUCGAAAACAAGCCACGGCUAACUACGUGCCAGCCGCAGC
rnacentral:rRNA from 1 species